UCCCCAUCCAGGCCAUCCCCGUCCAGCGCUCCCACCCCAAUGUCUCUAUCUUAGUCUCUCUAACCCGGAAAAGUCUAAACAUCCUCGGGGUGCAUCCCCGUUGCUUCCCCAUUGCCUACAUGGCAACUAAAUCCAACGACGCCAUUUUCAACUUAAUAGCAGAUUUGAAAAUGACUCCCGUGUUUGCCAUCAAUCUCGUGUCUCUCUUCAAUCUCGUCCCUCUCAUCUCUCUCUUCUCUGAAGCCUCUCAUCUCACAUGAACCCUAACCCUAACCUCUCAUCAUCCCUCUCAUCCCAUGCUAACCCACCCGAACCCUAACCCUAACCUCCAAGCUGAAACCCAAACGAACCCUAACUCAAAGAUUAGGGGAACCCAUUAUGCACAGUUGAGAAACAACCCAUUCGAUUACGAUACAACCACCGCGAGCUGCACGGGCAGUACAUAAGUUGUGGGAAGACCGAAGGAAUUUAGAUUGGGAAAAGAAUUGUGCUUCUGCGAGCUGAAAGCCACAUUGAAAUGGUCAACUACUACAAAAAAUCCUAGAAGACCCUUCUUAGGGUGUUCAAUAUAUAAUACCCAGGGCUUACCAUAUUGUAAGUUUUUCAAGUGGUUGGAUGGUAAUGAAGUGAUUGAGCUACAAGUUCAAGAAAGAAUUGAUGAAUUGUUAAAGAAAGAGAAAGAUGUAGAGAAGAUACUUGAGAUGCUGGAAAAGAGGGAGAUUGAGCUCCGUAAGAUAAUGGAUCGCCUCGAGAGAGUAAGCAUGGUGCUGUCCAAUAAAAGUGACGAGGUUACGCAAAACGAGUUCAUCAAUAACGCACAAGAAGCUAGAAGAAAAGGAUUAUGCACACUAUUUUGGAUUUAUUGUUGUUUUGUAUUUGUACAUGCAUUUUACCUAGUGUUAUAUAAGUGAAUUUGGGAUUGUUGUUAACUAGUGUUUUGUACUUUGUGGAAUAUUAUCCUAGUUAUGUAACUGAGAUUCAUUGAAUGUAAUUGAAGUAAAAGCUCAUCUUGUUUCUGUGCCAAA